rnacentral:rRNA from 1 species
UGCGUAGGUUGUUCGGUAAGUCAGCGGUGAAACCUGAGCGCUCAACGUUCAGCCUGCCGUUGAAACUGCCGGGCUUGAGUUCAGUGGCGGCAGGCGGAAUUCGUGGUGUAGCGGUGAAAUGCAUAGAUAUCACGAGGAACUCCGAUUGCGAAGGCAGCUUGCCAUACUGCGACUGACACUGAAGCACGAAGGCGUGGGUAUCAAACA